AUGUAUUUAUAUUACGCAAUCUGCAAUAUAAAUAAACUACCGGUUUUCAUCGGAGAUGAUAUGUUUUAUGUGUUUACCACAUUGCCAUUCUUCAUGAACAUGUCACAGCGGUCGAGAUUGAUUUCUCCCGCACAACAAACUUGUAAUUUUUUUGAAAAUAAUAUCUAUAGAGAUAUUUGUCAAAAUGGUUUCCAUAGCGAAACUUAUGCCGACAAGACAGAGAAAUACAUUUUCUUUACCAUAUGCAACGGAUAUGGCAAGCAUUCUCUAUGUAUCACCUGGAUUGUACUACACAUACUACAAAACCCGUAG
rnacentral:rRNA from 1 species